GCUGGCGUAGCUCAGUCGGUAGAGCAGCGCACUCGUAAUGCGCAGGUUGUGGGUUCAAGUCCCACCGCCAGCU
rnacentral:tRNA from 1 species